rnacentral:rRNA from 1 species
AUACGGAGGAUCCGAGCGUUAUCCGGAUUUAUUGGGUUUAAAGGGUGCGCAGGCGGCCAUUUAAGUCAGCGGUUAAAUCGUGGGGCUCAACCCCAUUCUGCCGUUGAUACUGGGUGGCUUGAUUGCGGUCGAGGUUGGCGGAAUUCGUUGUGUAGCGGUGAAAUGCAUAGAUAUGACGAAGAACACCGAUUGCGUAGGGAGCUGACCAGACCGCAAAUGACGCUCAUGCACGAAAGUGCGGGGAUCGAACAGGAUUAGAUACCCUGGUAGUCCGCACAGUAAACGAUGAAUACUUGUUUUCGGCGAUAUAAUGUCGGAGGCAAAGCGAAAGCGAUAAGUAUUCCACCUGGGGAGUACGCCGGCAACGGUGAAACUCAAAGGAAUUGACGGGG